UUCCCUGGAGCGUUCGUGAUCCGCCUAUUGGUGCUGACCUCACAAGCUUAAGAAAUUGGGAGCCGAGCGAGAGAUUGGUGUGCAUGCCCGACGUGUCGGGAAGUCUGAAGAUCUGUCCAAGGCACCCCCCUGGGAGACCAGGUUCCGCACCGGUAUUCUGACACGGCGCUCUGGGGU
rnacentral:other from 1 species